rnacentral:tRNA from 1 species
GUCGUUGUAGUAUAGUGGUGAGUAUCCCCGCCUGUCACGCGAGAGACCCCAGGUUCGAUCCCCUGGCAACGGCC